UUACACCCUGGGUAAGGCUGGGGCUUCUCAUUUCAGAUUUUCUUCAAAGAAGGGCUCACUUGUCCUUACCUGUUCCUCUAUCUAACUGUCUGAAAGCAUCUGAAAGAAACACCCCCCCACACACACACACUUGCACCGAAAGGGCUGUAAUGAAUGCGUCAUUGUUCUCAGUUGAAGGUAAUCCUGGUACACAGCAGAGCGUGGUGCAAUGUAUCACUUUCAACUUUCUCACUUUGAUUCCUUGGUGGGAUGUGAAUGAGAUGGGAAAGAGACGAGAGUUUUUGCUGAUUGGGAAAAAAAAAAGGAAUUUAAGGGAAUUUUUAAUCAGGAGCUCCAUUGUGCCAAGCACUUUAUUCAAUACGGUGCCUAAUAUUUCUGAUAUGG